rnacentral:sRNA from 12 species
UCUUCCCCAUUUAAACAUGAUUACCUCGGUGCAGAUGGAUUUUUCAAUCCUGCCGAGACGCAUGGUAAUGAGUUGUUCCAAUUCGAGAUAUUGGAUUGACUGACAGCUUUUGCUUGAAAGUGAUUUUAAGCAAGAAGAUAGAAACUAUCAACAAUUCUGCGUGGUGUAUCAUCAUAGAGAAGUCAAAAGCAGAAUCCUUGUGGCUGACGAAUAAUAGACGCUUGCUGUGCAAGAAUAAUCCGUUGAUGUGUGCGGUGUGAGAGACCACGGACUAUAUACGGAAAACUCAUUAAGUCAGUUUGCCUUGAAUCCGGGAAACCGGAGUAUAACACAAGAAAUUCGUUAAAGUAGCGGUAUGGCAGAAACAAAUAAUCAAGGCUCUGCAUGAACCAAAACAUUCUGAAAGAACCGUGAAAUUUGUGGGUAUCAAUCCCAUUCGUGCUUGACAGGGGUAAGAAGCCAAGGGUCGCUCCCGGAAGCUCAGACUUAUCUCCACGGCGGCUGAAUAUGACUGUAUCUAUGGUGGAUAAAGGGAAACCUUAAUCAUGUUUACUUUGCAGU